UGGAUCCAGAUUUGAUUAUGGCUCAGGAUGAACGCUAGCUACAGGCUUAACACAUGCAAGUCGAGGGGCAGCAUGGUCUUAGCUUGCUAAGACUGAUGGCGACCGGCGCACGGGUGAGUAACACGUAUCCAACCUGCCGUCUACUCUUGGACAGCCUUCUGAAAGGAAGAUUAAUACAAGAUGGCAUCAUGAGUCCGCAUGUUCACAUGAUUAAAGGUAUUCCGGUAGACGAUGGGGAUGCGUUCCAUUAGAUAGUAGGCGGGGUAACGGCCCACCUAGUCUUCGAUGGGUAGGGGUUCUGAGAGGAAGGUCCCCCACAUUGGAACUGAGACACGGUCCAAACUCCUACGGGAGGCAGCAGUGAGGAAUAUUGGUCAAUGGGCGAGAGCCUGAACCAGCCAAGUAGCGUGAAGGAUGACUGCCCUAUGGGUUGUAAACUUCUUUUAUAAAGGAAUAAAGUCGGGUAUGCAUACCCGUUUGCAUGUACUUUAUGAAUAAGGAUCGGCUAACUCCGUGCCAGCAGCCGCGGUAAUACGGAGGAUCCGAGCGUUAUCCGGAUUUAUUGGGUUUAAAGGGAGCGUAGAUGGAUGUUUAAGUCAGUUGUGAAAGUUUGCGGCUCAACCGUAAAAUUGCAGUUGAUACUGGAUAUCUUGAGUGCAGUUGAGGCAGGCGGAAUUCGUGGUGUAGCGGUGAAAUGCUUAGAUAUCACGAAGAACUCCGAUUGCGAAGGCAGCCUGCUAAGCUGCAACUGACAUUGAGGCUCGAAAGUGUGGGUAUCAAACAGGAUUAGAUACCCUGGUAGUCCACACGGUAAACGAUGAAUACUCGCUGUUUGCGAUAUACGGCAAGCGGCCAAGCGAAAGCGUUAAGUAUUCCACCUGGGGAGUACGCCGGCAACGGUGCAACUCAAAGGAAUUGACGGA
rnacentral:rRNA from 1 species